CUACGGGUGGCAGCAGUGAGGAAUUUUGCGCAAUGGGGGAAACCCUGACGCAGCAACGCCGCGUGAGUGAAGAAGGCCUUUGGGUCGUAAAGCUCUGUCAACUGGGAAGAAGUUACAAUGUUUUAAUAAAAUGUUGUAUUGACGGUACCAGUGGAGGAAGCGCCGGCUAACUCCGUGCCAGCAGCCGCGGUAAUACGGGGGGCGCAAGCGUUAUUCGGAAUUAUUGGGCGUAAAGGGCGCGCAGGCGGUCUUGUCCGUCAGGUGUGAAAGCUCGGGGCUCAACCCCGGAAGUGCACUUGAAACAGCAAGACUUGAAUACGGGAGAGGAGAGAGGAAUUCCUGGUGUAGAGGUGAAAUUCGUAGAUAUCAGGAGGAACACCGAUGGCGAAGGCAUCUCUCUGGACCGAUAUUGACGCUGAGGCGCGAAGGCGUGGGUAGCGAACGGGAUUAGAUACCCUGGUAGUC
rnacentral:rRNA from 1 species